CCUACGGGUGGCAGCAGUGAGGAAUAUUGGUCAAUGGCCGGAAGUCUGAACCAGCCAAGCCGCGUGAAGGACGAAGGUGCCACGCAUUGUAAACUUCUUUUGUCAAGGGACAAAAUCAGGCUCGAGAGCCUUACCGAGGGUACUUGACGAAAAAGCAUCGGCUAACUCCGUGCCAGCAGCCGCGGUAAUACGGAGGAUGCGAGCGUUAUCCGGAUUUAUUGGGUUUAAAGGGUGCGUAGGCGGACUGUUAAGUCAGCGGUAAAAGCCCGGGGCUCAACCCCGGCGAGCCGUUGAAACUGGCUGUCUUGAGAUGUCGAGAGGGAUGCGGAAUGCGCAGUGUAGCGGUGAAAUGCUUAGAUAUUGCGAAGAACUCGGAUGGCGAAGGCAGCAUACCGGCGGCGAAGGCGGCCUGCUGGACCGCGACUGACGUUGAGGCUCGAAAGCGUGGGGAGCGAACAGGAUUAGAUACCCCAGUAGUC
rnacentral:rRNA from 1 species